AACGAACGCUGGCGGCAGGCUUAACACAUGCAAGUCGAACGGGUGUAGCAAUACAUCAGUGGCAGACGGGUGAGUAACACGUGGGAACCUUCCUAGGGGUACGGAACAACUCAGGGAAACUUGAGCUAAUACCGUAUACGUCCGUGAGGAGAAAGAUUUAUCGCCCGUAGACGAGCCCGCGUCGGAUUAGCUAGCUGGUGGGGUAAUGGCCUACCAAGGCCACGAGCCGUAGCUGAUCUUAGAGGAUGAUCAGCCACACUGGGACUGAGACACGGCCCAGACUCCUACGGGAGGCAGCAGUGGGGAAUCUUGGACAAUGGGCGCAAGCCUGAUCCAGCCAUGCCGCGUGAGUGAAGAAGGUCUUCGGAUUGUAAAGCUCUUUUGCCAGGGACGAUAAUGACGGUACCUGGAGAAUAAGCCCCGGCAAACUUCGUGCCAGCCGCCGCCGUAACAC
rnacentral:rRNA from 1 species